GUAGCAUACGGGAGUGGCAGACGGGUGAGUAACGCGUGGGAACGUACCCUUUGGUUCGGAACAACUCCGGGAAACUGGAGCUAAUACCGGAUGAGCCCUACGGGGGAAAGAUUUAUCGCCGAAGGAUCGGCCCGCGUCGGAUUAGCUAGUUGGUGAGGUAACGGCUCACCAAGGCAACGAUCCGUAGCUGGUCUGAGAGGAUGAUCAGCCACACUGGGACUGAGACACGGCCCAGACUCCUACGGGAGGCAGCAGUGGGGAAUAUUGGACAAUGGGCGCAAGCCUGAUCCAGCCAUGCCGCGUGAGUGAUGAAGGCCUUAGGGUUGUAAAGCUCUUUCGCCAGGGACGAUAAUGACGGUAACUGGAUAAGAAGCCCCGGCUAACUUCGUGCCAGCAGCCGCGGUAAUACGAAGGGGGCUAGCGUUGUUCGGAAUCACUGGGCGUAAAGCGCAUGCAGGCGGAUCGAUAAGUCGGGGGUGAAAGCCCGAGGCUCAACCUCGGAACUGCCUUCGAUACUGUCGAUCUUGAGUCCGGGAGAGGUGAGUGGAACUCCGAGUGUAGAGGUGAAAUUCGUAGAUAUUCGGAAGAACACCAGUG
rnacentral:rRNA from 1 species